UGACAAGUUAUCGUGUAAGCCAACAAGUUAGUUGUGGUGUCACCCUGCCAUUAGUUUUAAGUCUGCGCCUAAAAUACAAAGAAAAAGAUAUUAUAUUUCUAAAGACAAAAAUGACUUCAAAGAUUCGUUUCGUCGUUUUUAUUAUGAUGAUAUACUUUAUUAAUAGUUUAAAUGGUACAAAAGCUAAGAAACCUAUUAAGCCGGAUUUACCAGAAGUAGAUGUUCCAGGACUCGAUCUUCCAGAUAUAGAUUUAAUUCAAGAGCUAACGAUACAGAAAAUAAUUUUGAUAUUUUCUCACAUUAUUGAUUUUCCAAAAUUGAUUAAUUUAGUCCUGUUUCUAUUGAAUUUCAUAGCAAAAACUGUAAAUUUGAAUUGAUCGUAAAAAGUGUCACGUAUUUCAAUCAAGUGUAACUGGAUUUAAUAUAUCAUUUUAUUUCA